rnacentral:rRNA from 1 species
UGGGGAAUAUUGCACAAUGGGCGCAAGCCUGAUGCAGCCAUGCCGCGUGUAUGAAGAAGGCCUUCGGGUUGUAAAGUACUUUCAGCGGGGAGGAAGGGAGUAAAGUUAAUACCUUUGCUCAUUGACGUUACCCGCAGAAGAAGCACCGGCUAACUCCGUGCCAGCAGCCGCGGUAAUACGGAGGGUGCAAGCGUUAAUCGGAAUUACUGGGCGUAAAGCGCACGCAGGCGGUUUGUUAAGUCAGAUGUGAAAUCCCCGGGCUCAACCUGGGAACUGCAUCUGAUACUGGCAAGCUUGAGUCUCGUAGAGGGGGGUAGAAUUCCAGGUGUGGCGGUGAAAUGCGUAGGGAUCUGGAGGAAUACCGGUGGCGAAGGCGGCCCCCUGGACGAAGACUGACGCUCAGGUGCGAAAGCGUGGGGAGCAAACGGG